rnacentral:rRNA from 1 species
GUCGAGCGGACAGAAGGGAGCUUGCUCCCGGAUGUUAGCGGCGGACGGGUGAGUAACACGUGGGUAACCUGCCUGUAAGACUGGGAUAACUCCGGGAAACCGGAGCUAAUACCGGAUAGUUCCUUGAACCGCAUGGUUCAAGGAUGAAAGACGGUUUCGGCUGUCACUUACAGAUGGACCCGCGGCGCAUUAGCUAGUUGGUGAGGUAACGGCUCACCAAGGCGACGAUGCGUAGCCGACCUGAGAGGGUGAUCGGCCACACUGGGACUGAGACACGGCCCAGACUCCUACGGGAGGCAGCAGUAGGGAAUCUUCCGCAAUGGACGAAAGUCUGACGGAGCAACGCCGCGUGAGUGAUGAAGGUUUUCGGAUCGUAAAGCUCUGUUGUUAGGGAAGAACAAGUGCAAGAGUAACUGCUUGCACCUUGACGGUACCUAACCAGAAAGCCACGGCUAACUACGUGCCAGCAGCCGCGGUAAUACGUAGGUGGCAAGCGUUGUCCGGAAUUAUUGGGCGUAAAGGGCUCGCAGGCGGUUUCUUAAGUCUGAUGUGAAAGCCCCCGGCUCAACCGGGGAGGGUCAUUGGAAACUGGGAAACUUGAGUGCAGAAGAGGAGAGUGGAAUUCCACGUGUAGCGGUGAAAUGCGUAGAGAUGUGGAGGAACACCAGUGGCGAAGGCGACUCUCUGGUCUGUAACUGACGCUGAGGAGCGAAAGCGUGGGGAGCGAACAGGAUUAGAUACCCUGGUAGUCCACGCCGUAAACGAUGAGUGCUAAGUGUUAGGGGGUUUCCGCCCCUUAGUGCUGCAGCUAACGCAUUAAGCACUCCGCCUGGGGAGUA